CUGAUGGCAAUACCAUAUAAUCAGAUGUUGAAAAAAACACGUUGCUUUUUUCUUCGUCGACCACCAACGCACAAGCAUCACCAAGCAAGACCGAAAAUUCCAAUAAAAAAAAACCUUUUUGGCCGGCGUUAUCCAAGGCAUCCUGCCACAAACCCACAGUUCGCCACAGCAUCAAUCGUGCCAAUUUGGAAUUCUACGUGGAAUUAAUCCAUGAGACAAUAAUACUGCUCGCCGAAACGAGCCAUCAUGCAAAUAAUUAAAUCAAAAAUAAUAUAUAUCUGGCCAGGGUCCAUUCACAGGAUCCCUGCGGCAUCCCCGCUAAAUCAAAGGGGGCACCAGACAUACAAGUGGGAGACAGCACCAACGCGGAAUUCCCAUGGAAUGCGCUGAAAACCCUUUCAUGCCGGCGACCGGCCGAAUAGUACACCCAUGCCCAUACAUGCCUGUGUCCGAGUCACCCCCGCCCCACACGCAACAAAACUUCGGCCUUUUCCUUGGUCUCCAAAUAAAAGGUCGAUGUGCGUGUGUGGAAUCAAAUUAAGGUGACCUCCAGGAAGCAAUUUGGAUCUGAAACCCUCCACGAGCGCAUGAAGCACACGGGGCUUGUUCCAUCCAUAACACACCAGGUAAGUGCAAUCCCAAUAGAUCCUCUGUGGACACAAAAACCCAACUCAUACAAAAGGCCCUGCCAAUGGCCACCUCAUACAUCCGUGAGCAGCACCACCAGGGCUGCCGUUGAGAUUUUCACGAAAGAGGUUAAAUAAAACAAAUAUUUCCCUUUUCGUUAAGACAGGGUUCCCCAAAAAGUGUGUUCACUUUCUUCAUCUAAAAAAAAAACCAUAAAGUCUCAACGCCUUAUUCUCUAAAAAACAACUGAAUAAACAAAAAGCUUUUCGAGCGGAACGCUGUCAAACUCCAUAUAAAAACACAUCGCUAAGCGUAAGCUAAAAACACGCUGAAAACAGGCUGAAAAAGUAGUACUCUGUUUAUGGUACGGAAAUGACAAAAAAGGCGUAAGUGGAAACACUUGAAACCAUUACCGGCAUCCUUUUUGUAUUUUUCAUUGUUUUUAAUGAUUCGUUUUGCAUUACUAACUUGUGAAAAAUAAAUUAAAUAGAGAGAACAAUAAGUGCAGAUAAAAAAAAAGAACGUGUUUUGUCAAGGAAACAAAACCAUUUGAUUGCUGUCAAAUUCCGCUCGGGGAACAAUUAAAAAUUUGGCGGCUAGUCCGCUAGCAGAAUAGAGUACUAACCCUUAGGAAAGUCUCGAACAAAAAUAAGCGAAAAAUGAAGAAAUAAAACUUUAAGGUCCGUUCACCCAAAUUCACAGCCAAUAUUCCUUCAGAAUCGUAUGUCAAACAAAAUUCUACUCACAAAAAAAAAUUAUUGAUAAAUUUUCUUUGAAAAUACUUUUGUGGGCCCAAAGUUAAAAAGAAAUAAUACAAAUCUUUUAAAGGAAAAAAAAAAAAUUCAAAAAUUUUGUACGAAAAACUGACUAAUAUCUUGGAUCAAAAUUUCUAAAUUUAAAAAUAGGUUGAAAAAUGGCAACCAAAAAGGGCCGAGCUGUCAUACACUAAAAAAAAUGGUUGAGAGAAAAAAAAAUAUGAUAAACAUUAAACCGGACGUCGAAAUGGCAAACCCACGUUAGUGCCAUGUAUGACCACAUGUUGAAGAAUGACAUGGUCGCGGAUGAUUGUCUCUCUACUCAGAGAAGUUUAUUAGUAAAAACACACGGUUUCACGGUCCAGCCGGGUUAAAGAAUAUUGAAUGAUUUUAAAAUUACCUAAAAAACAACCGCGGUAGUCAGCUUGAGGAUUUAGAAGUCAAAUCAGAACAUAAAAAAAAUUGCACUUAGAAAAACAAAUUGAAAAAAAAAAAAAAAAAUUUCAU